rnacentral:tRNA from 1 species
GGGCCACUAGCUCAACGGCAGAGCAGGGGCCUUUUAAGCCCUUGGUUCCGGGUUCGAAUCCCGGGUGGCUCA